ACAAAUAGAAACAUUUGCUAAAAUGUAAAAUUAUUUAAAGAGGUUAUCUUACCCCACAACUGGGGUAAGAAGCUCACCCUGGCUAAACUUUUACAGAAUGUUGCCUUUAAAAUGACUUUUAAUAUAAUUUUUAUUAAUAUUUACAUAUUUAAUUGUUCAUAUUUCAAUUGAAGAUAUGUCAUAAUAGCAACACUUUGAAUGCAAACUGAACGAUUUCACUCAACUAACAGGUUUUAAUAAAAGCGAAUUAGAUGUCUGAAAUGUACAUCUAAUAAUUCGUGGAAAUGCUGAAUAAUAACCCCAUUAAUUGCAAUAAUUAUUAAAUUUUAAAAUAACACUAGUAACAAAAUGCCUUCUGUGCCAGUUCCGGGGGAUCAUCUUACCCCAAAGGCAUCUUUUUACUUCAAAAUAAAAACUUUUACUCCACAAAAUCUAACAACAUUAUUGUGUCCACAAGUCCCUGAUUAACAGAUAGAUACGAAAAAACUUUGAUAUUCAACAUGAUCACUAUUUUCCAAAGACACAAAAUUAGAUCAUUUAACCUCAAAACUGUUUUGGCUGAUGUUGAUAUUCAGAUGAACUGACAAAAUUAAAAAUAGUGUAGUCAUUCAUCAAAAGUGCUGAGAUGAGAUUUUGUGUCAUCUGGUCAGGAGAAAAAAAAUUAAGGUGGGGGUGGGGGUGUCAUCUUACCCCAACUUACCCUGCUGGUGCUGUGUGUAUUUGAAAACUGCUGGUUCAUUGCUUGAAACUUGAAACUAUUAUAUCGUGAUAUGUUAUUGAGCAAUUAUAUGUUUUUUUUUUUUCAAUAGUGGACAUGGAAAUGUGUUGUAACGUCCUUUGUUGCAAAAUCAGUGGUUAAACUUUUUUUUCCCCCUGUAUCAAAACCACAGUUGACAAUAGCCAUUGACAUCCAUAUGUUUUUUUUUUUUUCUACUAUGGAAGUCAGUUGCUACCGUCCACUAUCUGGUUACCAACAUUCUUCAAAAUAUCUUCUUUUGUGUUCAACGGAAGAAAGAAACUCAUUCAGAUUUGGAACAACUUGAGGGUUCUGCUGUCAGCUCAGAAGGGUGGUGGUCAUGUGAUCUGUUCCCGUUGCUCAUUUCCAGAGCCGUCUAAGCUUACGAUACUCCUACAUCCUACGUCAUACAUCGCGCCAGAGGAUUACUCAUUUGGCAAAAGUCGACUAGCGCAUUCUGUGUACGGUCGUCUACCGGAAGCUAGUUAUUUGAAUUUAUAAAGUUUUAAAUAUGGAUAUUUUUCUAACAAAAACGCAUCGCUUCACUUCAGAAGGCCUUUUUUAACUCACUCAAGUCGUAUGUAUUACUUUUCUUAUGGAUGGAUGCAUUAUUUUGAAAGAAGAUAGUCAUAUACACCUAGGAUGGCUUGAGGGCGAGUAAAUCAUGGGAUAAUUUUCAUUUUUGGGUGAACUAUCCCUUUAAUAUGUUUUUUUUUUUAAUUACCAGUUUAAACAGGUAAAAAUCCUUACAUUUAUUUACAUGGUAAGCAAUACUUUUAGAAUUUUAAGCAUCCAACACUUUUUAUUUUACUUUGAAUGAUUAAUGACAUACAUCGAUCUUCUACGAUCCUGGUGAGUAAUCAGAUCAAACUCACUCUGAUUUGACUCAAGUCGCAAUGCAUGCUGGGUAAUCAGCAGUACCACAUUUUAAGGCUGUGUCUGAAAUUGCAUACUUCCCUACGAUAUAGUAGGCUAAAAACAGUAUGUGAUAAUAGAAGUACUCAUAAAAGAGUAGGCAAAAAGUACCCGGAUGACUUAAUACUUCCGAUGAGAUUGUGAAGUGUACAUACAAAGGACACUUUACUAUCCCAUGAGGCCACGGGAGAGGAUUUGUGAAUGGCGGUGAAGCGACACAACUGAUGCUGAAGUAAGCUAUUUUCUGUGAAUGUGCGAGACUUCCGAUUCAUUAGCAGCUCAUUAGCAGAUUCCACAUUCAACCGCUCCAGACACAUCGACGCAUUCGCCAUCUUGGAAAAGUUAACAAGACGCUGACGAGACCUCUCAGAGGUGAGAAUGUGCUGAUUUGUGUUUUUAUGUAUAACUCAAUAUCCAAUAUCCAUAGGCCUAUGCAGAAUUAUCACCAAUUAUCACACCAUUACCAAUGGUUAAUGGUGUGAAAACAAUUUGUU